rfam:Felis catus isolate Cinnamon breed Abyssinian chromosome D4, whole genome shotgun sequence.
GCCUGGCUGGCUCAGUUGGUAGAGCACGUGACUCUCAAUCUCAGGGUCGCGAGUUCAAGCCCCACGUUGGGCA